UACGUAGGGCGCGAGCGUUGUCCGGAAUUAUUGGGCGUAAAGAGCUCGUAGGCGGCCGGUUGCGUCUGCUGUUAAAUCCCGGGGCUUAACCCCGGGCGUGCAGUGGAUACGGGCCGGCUGGAGGCAGGCAGGGGAGAAUGGAAUUCCCGGUGUAGCGGUGAAAUGCGCAGAUAUCGGGAGGAACACCGGUGGCGAAGGCGGUUCUCUGAGCCUGUACUGACGCUGAGGAGCGAAAGCGUGGGGAGCGAACAGG
rnacentral:rRNA from 1 species